rnacentral:lncRNA from 1 species
UUAUAUUAUAUGCAAAUGGCUUAAAUAUGUCAGCUAAAAUACAAAGAUUAUCAGAUUAGAUAACAAGAACAUCAAAACCAUAAGAAUACAAUUAUAUGGUAUCUACAAAAGGUACUUCCAAAAUAUAAGGUAGAGAAAGGUCUAAAAUGAAAAUAAGAAAAAAGAUGUAUUAUUCACACUAUAAUUGAAAGAAGCUGGUAUAGCUAUUUAAUAAACUAAUGCUGGGGCCCGGCAUGGUGGCUCUCGCCUGUAAUCCCAGCACUUUGGGAGCUCAAGGCGGGUGGAUCACUUGAGUUCAGGAGUUGGAGACCAGAAGCAGGAGGAGGAGAAGGAGGAAAAGAAGAAGAGGAAGAAGAAGAGGAGGAAGAGGAGGAGGAAGGAAAAGAAGAGGAAGAAGAAGGAGGAGGAGGAGAACAAGAAGAAGAAAAGGAAGAAGAAGAGGAGGAGGAAGAAGAAAUAAUGAAGCAAGGAUAUCAGAUUUAUAGGGCACUAUUACACCAAGAAAUAUUCAUAUUAUGGGUGUUCCAGAGGCAGAAGACAUGGGAAAAGGUGAGAAAAACACAUUUAAUAAAAGAAUAGCAGAAAACUUCGCAAGUUUUGAGAGAAAGGUGGACAUCCAGGUCUAGGAAGCUCAAAGAAUUCCAAAUAGAUUCAACCCAAACAGGUCCUCUCCAAGGUACAUAACAGUCCAAUUGUCAACAGUCAAAGACAAAGAAUUCUAAAAUCAGCAAGUGAAAAGUGUCAAGUCAAACUUAAGGGAAUCCCCAUUAGACUAAGAGCAGAUUUCUCUACACAAACAUUACAGGCCAAGAGAGAAUGGGGCAAGAUAUUGAAAGUACUGGGAAAAAACCCCUGUCAACUAGGAAUAUUAUACUCAGCAAAGCUAUCUCCUUCAGAAAUAAAGGAGAAAUAAAGUCCCAGACAAGCAAAACAUAAGGGAAUUCACUAUCACUAACCUGAUUUUAUAAGAAAUGCUCAAGGGAGCCUUGCAUCUGAAAGUGAAAAGAUAAUAAUGUGAACCCAAAAUAUCUGAGACAGGUCGCAGUCAAUUUAGAAAGUUUAUUUUGCCAAGGUUAAGGAUGCACCCAUGACACAGCCUCAGGUGGUCCUGAGGCUUGGACAUGUGCCCAAGGUGGUUGGGGAAUAGCUUGCUUUUAUGCAUUUCAGGGAGACAUGAGACACUUCAGGACAACUUGAAGUGGGGGCUUCCAGGUCAGAAGUAGAUAAGAGACAAAAGGUUGCAUUCUUUUAAGUCCUCGAUCAGCUUUCCACUGAAUACACAAUUUAGUCUGGCUUGGUGCAUCUGCAUUGUUACAUAAAGAAUAAGACAGAGGAAACAAUCAGAUAUCCAUUUGUCUCAGGUCAACCUCAGAGGGAUGACUUUGAAUUCUGUCCUUUGCCCACAAGGAAUUUCCUUGAGACAAGGAAAUUCCAAGUCUCAAAACACUAAAACAUCAAAAUUAUGUCAAAUAUCUUAUGUGACCACAGUGGAAUAAACUAGACAUCAAUUACGAGAUGCCAAAACAGACCAGGCACAGAAAGCUGAAGGUGCUGGAGAUGCCAAGUGAAGUGUGCACAUUUUUGAUAACUAUGUGCCUCUAGAGGUGACUGUAGAGUGUGAAAUACUCUUUUUAUCAAGUUUUAUAAAAAUGCAGCAUUUUGUUUCACUUUUUUUAAAAGCUAUGUUGUUAGCACACAGAACAAUUCAUUGUUGUUUUUGGGAAAAGAAUGUCCGUGAAGCUGGAUUGAUGUGGAGAAGACACCUUUCCCUUCUAGUUUUGAGAGACUUCCUCUUGGCUCCCAGGAGGAGGGAUUUCCUGACUUUGACACACAUGGCCACCUUGUCACAAAAGCCAUUAAAAACAAAUUCAUUUUUAUGUCCUCUUCUCCCUUUCAACCUUUCAGCAUAGACUUAACUCCCUUAAACCCAGACACCUGUUGGGAUGUGACCCCCCAGUAAUUGGUCACCAGUGUGUCAGGC